ensembl:lncRNA
GCCUGGUCUGAUGAAUCAUGUUUUCUUUUACAUCACAUGGCCGGGUGCUUGUGUCGCUUACCUGGAGAACACAUGACACCAGGAUGCACUAUGGGAAGAAGACAAGCCAGUGGAGGCAGUCUGAUGCUUUGGGCAAUGUUCUGCUAGGAAACCUUGGGUCUGGGCAUUCAUGUGGAUGUGCUGUAGGAUGUGUUGGACAAACAUGUCAGAUUCAUGGAGGUCCCACCUCACAACUUACAGGACCUAAAGAAUCUGCUGCUAACGUCCUGAUGCUUUUAGACCUCAAUAAUAUUAUGCAGGUGGUCAUGAUGUUAUGGCUGACUGGUGUGUGUGCAGGUCCUUUAGACCUCAGUAAUAUUAUGCAGGUGGUCAUGAUGUUAUGACUGACUGGUGUGUGUGCAG